rnacentral:rRNA from 1 species
UGGCGAACGGGUGGGUAACACGUGGGCAACCUGCCCAAAAGAGGGGGAUAACACUUGGAAACAGGUGCUAAUACCGCAUAACCAUAGUUACCGCAUGGUAACUAUGUAAAAGGUGGCUAUACUACCGCUUUUGGAUGGGCCCGCGGCGCAUUAGCUAGUUGGUAGGGUAAAGGCUUACCAAGGCAAUGAUGCGUAGCCGAAUUGAGAGGUUGAUCGGCCACAUUGGGACUGAGACACGGCCCAAACUCCUACGGGAGGCAGCAG